rnacentral:rRNA from 1 species
CCUUAAGUGGACAAGUUGAAGUCGACAGGCUAAACCUCUACACUAUACUUCACCGGCGCCUGCGAGGACACCAAGAGUCCAAGACGACGCGAGCGCCAUGGCGCACGAUGGAGCUUCCCAUGGAGCGACCACCGCCCCGCUGCUCGCGUCGACGGAGAAGCCACCGCGGAACAUGUACGCCUUCGGCUGCGCCACGUUGGCCUCCAUGACCACGAUCCUCAUGGGUUACAAUCUCGCGCUGAUGAGCGGCGCGCAGCUCUUCAUCCGGGAGGACCUGGGGCUCACCGACGAGCAGGUGGAGGUACUGGCUGGGUCCAUGAACGUGUACAUGCUCGUGUCCAUCCUCGCCGCCGGCUGGGCGGCCGACCUCCUGGGCCGCCGCGGCACCCUCGUGCUCGCCAACGGCUUCCUCAUGGCCGGCGCGCUCGCCAUGUCGCUCGGCGGCAGCUACGCGGCGCUCAUGGCCGCGCGCUUCAUCACCAGCAUCGGCGUUGGCUUCUCCCUCGUCGUCGCGCCGGUCUACAACGCCGAGAUCUCGCCGGCCUCCGCGCGUGGCGUGCUUUCCUCCUUACUCGAUGUUAGUGCCGGCGCACGCUGCCGCCGCUGUGCUUGAGCGCGCUUGGCGUCUCAUGGAUUAAUCUUUCGUUGCCGUGCUUGCACAGAUAUUUGUCAACGUCGGCAUCCUGCUCAGCUACGUGUCGAACUACGCCUUGGCUGGCCUGCCGGUGCACCUCAGCUGGCGCGUCAUGUACGCCAUCGGAGUGCUCCCACCGGUGCUCCUCGCCGCCGGGGUGCUCGCCAUGCCGGAGUCCCCGCGGUGGCUCGCCAUGCGCGGGCGCGAGGCCGACGCGCGCGCAGUGCUCGUGCGCACCUCCGAUACCGCCGCCGAGGCCGAGCUCCGCUUCGAGGAGAUCAAGCGGGUCGUCGAGGCGCCGCGAGAAGCCGAUAGUGGCGUGUGGCGGGAGCUGAUCUUUCGGCCGUCGGCGAUGGUCCGGCGGAUCCUCGUCUUCGUGGUCGGGCUCAACUUCCUCCAGCAAGCGUUCGGCGUCGACGCCAUCUUGCUGUACAGCCCGCUCAUGUUCAAGAAGGCAGGCAUGUCGUCGAACAGCGCCAUCUUGGGCGCCACCGUGGCCAUCGGCGUCGUCAAGACGUGCUUCAUACUCGUGGUCUCGCUCUUCUCCGACCGCUUCGGCCGGCGCCCGCUCCUGCUGGCCAGCGCCGGCGGCGUGGCCGCCUCGCUGACCGGCCUGGCCCUCACACUCUGCAUCGGCGAGACGUCGCCAGCGAGCACGGCUGCCUGCGUGGCGUUCACGCUGGCCACGGUCGCGGCGUUUUCGGUCGGGUGGGGGUCGCUCCCGUCCACGUACACGGCAGAGAUCACGCCGCUGCGGCUGCGUGCGCAGGGCUCGAGCCUGGGCAUGGCGGUGAACCGGCUGACUUGCGGGGUGGUAAGCAUGUCGUUCAUAUCGCUAGCGGGCUGGAUCACCAUGCCCGGGUGCUUCUUUCUGUACGCCGCUAUGGCGGCCACGGCGUACGUGUUCGUGUUCCUGCGGCUGCCAGAGACGAAGGGCCGGACCCUAGAGGAGAUGGACGUGCUCUUUUCCAAGUGAUUGUGUCAUCUAUAGGUUUUCGGCCACAAUUCAAUGCACGCUGUUGCGGCCCGCGGCACGUCUGGUAGAAACCUUUGGGAAAAAAAAGUGUGAACUCUUUUGUGAUUGCAUCAUCGAUAGGAAUCAAUAAAGAAUUUCAGUAUAGUACAUCUAAUGUCUGACGUGCUCAGGUACGUUGGAUCCCGAUCGAAUGUAUGACAAUUAAUCGUUGUAGCAUGAUGUUUUUCCUUUGAAAAUUUUAUGCUAUACUGUAUAAGGCAAUUUUCGCUGUAUAACAUGGCAAAUCCUUAUACACAAGCAUGACAAUUAAUCUCUUCUCGCAUGACAAAUUUGAUCGUCAGAUUUUGAGCAUUAAAAAUCUGACGUCAGAUUUUUAACAUUGCCGAUCAAUAAAAGGCUUCUAAUCCUGGUGUUGUGUUAUGAUUCAAAUUCAAAUAUAAAGAGAAAGUUUAACUUCUGACGAGCUAGCGGAGUGAGGCCCAUCGCCGAUCAAUAUUGUUCUAGGUCACAUGUGUUAUAUAUAUAUUCUUUGUAAGCCGCCG